AUGCAUGUUGAUACUAUAAUGGAAUCUCGUGAUGCAACAUUUUUUGAGAACAUAUUUCCUAUGAAAGAUAUGCAUAGCAUUGCUAGAUUUUCUUCUGAGAUAAUUCCUGAAUCUAGUACAACUGAUGAAUAUUUCGAACAAUCACAUGAGGAAGUCCUUGAGAAGGAUAACAAUGAAGUUCCUAGAAGGAACAAGAGACAAAGGAUUGCAAAAUCCUUUGGUGAUGAUUUCAUUGUAUACCUUGUGGACGACACACCCAAGACGAUUGCAGAAGCAUAUGCAUCUCCGGAUGUAGAUGAUUGGAAAGAAGCUGUUCAUAAUGAGAUGGACUCAAUUCUUUCUAAUGGAACUUGGGAACUAACUGAUAGACCAUAUGGUUGUAAACCUGUGGGCUGUAAGUGGGUGUUCAAAAAGAAGCUAAAGCCUGAUGGUACUAUUGAUAAGUACAAGGCGCGGCUAGUGGCCAAGGGCUACACUCAGAAAGAAGGCGAAGAUUACUUUGACACCUAUUCACCCGUUGCUAGAAUGACCACCAUUCGAGUGUUACUUUCCUUGGCUGCCUCUUAUGGUCUUAUCAUUCAUCAAAUGGAUGUAAAGACAUCUUUUCUCAAUGGAGAGUUGGAAGAGGAGAUCUAUAUGGAUCAGCCUGACGGGUUUGUGGUAAAGGGUGAAGAGAGAAAGGUGUGCAAGUUGUUAAAAUCUUUGUAUGGUCUGAAACAGGCACCUAAGCAAUGGCAUGAGAAGUUUGAAAGAACUCUGACUUCUGCAGGAUUUGUCAUUAACGAGGCUGAUAGGUGUGUUUACUAUCGCCAUGGUGGGGGCAAUAGUGUCAUAUUAUGUUUGUAUGUGGACGACAUACUGAUCUUUGGUACAAACAUUAAUGCAAUUAAUGAGGUCAAGUCUUUUCUAUCAAAAAGUUUUGACAUGAAAGAUCUGGGAGAAGCCGAUGUAAUUCUAAACAUCAAACUUAUUAAGGAUGAGAGUGGGAUUACAUUAACGCAAUCUCACUAUGUUGAGAAGGUCUUGAACCGAUUCGGUUUUAUGGAUAGCAAGCCUUCUCCAACACCUUAUGAUCCCAGCGUGACACUCGGAAAGAACAAGAAAGAAACGAGAGAUCAAUUAAGAUACUCUCAAAUUGUCGGUUCACUCAUGUACUUAGCUAGCGCUACAAGACCAGAUAUCUCUUUUGCUGUGAGCAAACUGAGUAGGUUCAUGUCCAACCCGGGUGAUGAUCAUUGGCAUGCACUAGAAAGGGUCUUGCGCUAUCUGAGAGGUACUAUGAGUUACGGAAUUACUUAUUCAGGGCAUCCUGCUGUGCUAGAAGGAUAUAGUGAUUCAAACUGGAUCUCCGAUGUUGAUGUACUUUACGCAACAAGUGGGUAUGUAUUUACUCAUGGUGGUGGCGCAGUGUCAUGGAGACACGUGAAAAGACGUUUGAAGUCUGUCAGGAAGUUGAGAAACUCCGGAGUAAUAACUGUUACGUAUAUACAAACAGACAAAAACCUGGCAGAUCCCUUUACAAAGGGACUAUCACGAAAUGUGAUAGAUAUUGCAUCGAGGGAGAUGGGUAUGAGACCCAUA
rnacentral:rRNA from 1 species